GUACAUAAAAGAAAGAAAACAGAAAAGGAAAGAGAGAGAACCUUGGCUUCAAGUUCUUCCAACUUUGACCGGUGACGAAGGGAACGAAGAGGAAUACUAUGUCCCUUAACAUUACUUAAAUUUUUUAUCAUUCACGAGGGAAUAUGUUUUCUUUUUCAUUCCUCUUCAUUUAUUUAUUUGUAGAAAAUUAUAUAACAAAUCAAUUCCUCAUUAAUUUUAAUAAGGAACCAUCAUUCUUCAUCAUUCCUAAAAUUUUAUUCUUACUCAUUUUUUUCAUAUCCGUUCCUAUUGUUUCCAUGAUGAUUACCAGUGUCACCUUCUACUUUUUAAAAUGACUUUAUCUAUGUAUAUGAUAUUAUUUUGUUCCUUCUUUGUGCAUUUUUUAUAAAGAUUCAUAAAAUUUAAAGGAAAUCGUGUCUAUUAAAUUCAAUCGUAUUCCUUUAAAAUCUAAAACAAAUCUUUUUGAGAAAUGCAUUAUAAUCCUCAACAAAUCAUUUAAAAUACUCAAAAAUCUAUUAUUUAUGUCUUCAUUUGAUUUUUUUUAAAAUUAGUUAAAUUCUUGAAUCUAAUACCAUCUCCAGAUACAUAGCCCAAAGAAUUAUUAUAAUAACUAAAGAAAAAUUAUUUCUAAUACGGCUCUAGUUCACCUUUAACAGUCUCUCAUUCUCUCAUACUAAUGCUAUGUUUCUCUUUCAUUGCUUUGUUUCGUCUCUUUUCUACGCUCUAUGUUCGCAGCCGAGAUAUUUUUCGGAGUCAAUAUAUGGAUCGUUGAUGUAGACUUGGCCCUUCUUGCUCUGCAAAAUGAUGAUGAAGACUUGGCCUUUUAGUAGAAUAGGAUGAAGAAAAUAAACUUAAGAGCUAUAUGGUUUUGAAUGCUUUGAGAGCAUUCUAUUUUAGAGUAAAAUAUAGGGAAAAAAAUUAUAGAUUACCAGUUGAGAUGGUUUGAUUAGGUCGUAACUUUUAUUGUCAACAAUUUGAAUUUCUUAAAAAUGAGAAAUUAAUAAUUUUAUUAUAAUAAAUUAAUUGGCUAUUAAGAAAGAGCCACGUGGUAAAAGAAUGUAUAAUAAACAGAGAAAAGAACCGGUUCUUGUGUUCGUUCA